AACGAACGCUGGCGGCAUGCCUAACACAUGCAAGUCGAACGAGAUCUUCGGAUCUAGUGGCGCACGGGUGCGUAACGCGUGGGAAUCUGCCCCUUGCUUCGGAAUAACAGUGAGAAAUUACUGCUAAUACCGGAUGAUGUCUCCGGACCAAAGAUUUAUCGGCAAGGGAUGAGCCCGCGUAGGAUUAGGUAGUUGGUGGGGUAAUGGCCUACCAAGCCGACGAUCCUUAGCUGGUCUGAGAGGAUGAUCAGCCACACUGGGACUGAGACACGGCCCAGACUCCUACGGGAGGCAGCAGUGGGGAAUAUUGGACAAUGGGCGAAAGCCUGAUCCAGCAAUGCCGCGUGAGUGAUGAAGGCCUUAGGGUUGUAAAGCUCUUUUACCAGGGAUGAUAAUGACAGUACCUGGAGAAUAAGCGCCGGCUAACUCCGUG
rnacentral:rRNA from 1 species